rnacentral:rRNA from 1 species
UCUAGUAGCUGGUUCCCUCCGAAGUUUCCCUCAGGAUAGCUGGUGCAUUUAAAAAUUAUAUAAAAUAAUCUUAUCUGGUAAAGCGAAUGAUUAGAGGCCUUAGGGUCGAAACGAUCUUAACCUAUUCUCAAACUUUAAAUGGGUAAGAACUUAACCUUUCUUGAUAUGAAGGUCUAAGUUGUGAUAUAUUGUGCCCAGUGGGCCACUUUUGGUAAGCAGAACUGGCGCUGUGGGAUGAACCAAACGUAAUGUUACGGUGCCCAAAUUAACAACUCAUGCAGAUACCAUGAAAGGCGUUGGUUGCUUAAAACAGCAGGACGGUGGACAUGGAAGUCGUAAUCCGCUAAGGAGUGUGUAACAACUCACCUGCCGAAGCAACUAGCCCUUAAAAUGGAUGGCGCUUAAGUUGUAUACCUAUACAUUACCGCUAAGGUAAAUGAUUUAUAAAUCAGAAAUUUUUUGGAUAUAAGUUUUGAAACUUUAGUGAGUAGGAGGGUACAAUGGUGUGCUUAGAAGUGUUUGGCGUAAGCCUGCAUGGAGCCGCUAUUGGUACAGAUCUUGGUGGUAGUAGCAAAUAAUCGAAUGAGACCUUGGAGGACUGAAGUGGAGAAGGGUUUCGUGUGAACAGUGGUUGAUCACGAGUUAGUCGGUCCUAAGUUCAAGGCGAAAGCCGAAAAUUUUUAAGUUAUUAAUGAAAAUAAUAAAUAUGAAUUUAUUUAAUAUUGAAAUUAUAUGCUUGAAUAUUUUUGAACGAAAGGGAAUACGGUUCCAAUUCCGUAACCUGUUGAGUAUCCGUUUGUUAUUAAAAAUGGGCUUUUUGCUCAUCCUGGCAACAGGAACAACCAUAAAGAGGCCGUCGAGAGAUAUCGGAAGAGUUUUCUUUUCUGUUUUAUAGUCGUACUACCAUGGAAGUCUUUCGAAGAGAGAUAUGGUAGAUGGACUAGAAGAGCAUGACAUUUACUGUUGUGUCGAUAUUUUCUCCUCGGACCUUGAAAAUUUAUGGUGGGGUUACGCAAAUCUUCUCAACAGGCCGUACCGAUAU